rnacentral:rRNA from 1 species
UUAAGCGUGUAGGCUGGUUUUCCAGGCAAAUCCGGAAAAUCAAGGCUGAGGCGUGAUGACGAGGCACUACGGUGCUGAAGCGACAAAUGCCCUGCUUCCAGGAAAAGCCUCUAAGCAUCAGGUAACAUCAAAUCGUACCCCAAACCGACACAGGUGGUCAGGUAGAGAAUACCAAGGCGCUUGAGAGAACUCGGGUGAAGGAACUAGGCAAAAUGGUGCCGUAACUUCGGGAGAAGGCACGCUGAUAUGUAGGUG